rnacentral:rRNA from 1 species
AUUGAACGCUGGCGGUAUGCCUUACACAUGCAAGUCGAACGGUAACAGGUCUUCGGAUGCUGACGAGUGGCGAACGGGUGAGUAAUACAUCGGAACGUGCCUAGUAGUGGGGGAUAACUACUCGAAAGAGUGGCUAAUACCGCAUGAGAUCUACGGAUGAAAGCAGGGGAUCGCAAGACCUUGUGCUACUAGAGCGGCCGAUGGCAGAUUAGGUAGUUGGUGGGAUAAAAGCUUACCAAGCCGACGAUCUGUAGCUGGUCUGAGAGGACGAUCAGCCACACUGGGAAUGAGACACGGCCCAGACUCCUACGGGAGGCAGCAGUGGGGAAUUUUGGACAAUGGGCGCAAGCCUGAUCCAGCAAUGCCGCGUGCAGGAUGAAGGCCUUCGGGUUGUAAACUGCUUUUGUACGGAACGAAAAGCCCUGGGUUAAUACCCUGGGGUCAUGACGGUACCGUAAGAAUAAGCACCGGCUAACUACGUGCCAGCCGCCGCCGUAAUAC